GAUGAACGCUGGCGGCGUGCCUAAUACAUGCAAGUCGAGCGAACAGAUAAGGAGCUUGCUCCUUUGACGUUAGCGGCGGACGGGUGAGUAACACGUGGAUAACCUACCUAUAAGACUGGGAUAACUUCGGGAAACCGGAGCUAAUACCGGAUAACAUAUUCAACCGCAUGGUUCAAUAGUGAAAGGCGGCUUUGCUGUCACUUAUAGAUGGAUCCGCGCCGUAUUAGCUAGUUGGUAAGGUAACGGCUUACCAAGGCAACGAUACGUAGCCGACCUGAGAGGAUGAUCGGCCACACUGGAACUGAGACACGGUCCAGACUCCUACGGGAGGCAGCAGUAGGGAAUCUUCCACAAUGGGCGAAAGCCUGACGGAGCAACGCCGCGUGAGUGAUGAAGGUCUUCGGAUCGUAAAGCUCUGUUAGCAGGGAAGAACAAAUGUGUAAGUAACUGUGCACAUCUUGACGGUACCUGAUCAGAAAGCCACGGCUAACUACGUG
rnacentral:rRNA from 1 species